AUGUAGAUGUAUUAUAUGAGUGGUGGUCGAUCGAGCUUUGCCAGACAUCCCUGUAUCUGUACUUAUUUGCAAUUUGAAAAAAUCGCCUUUUGCUUUGCUGCUACAAGUCCCUGCUUGGCAAAAAGAAAAACGGGGAGAAGUCAAUACAUUACCCUUAAGUGCCAAGCAGGCUUCAGGACGACAGAGGGAGGAGCAGCCACAGUGCACGGUUUUAGAAUGGCUGUUUCCACCUCAUACCGCUCCAAAAAGUAUUUGCCA